UACGGAGGGUGCAAGCGUUAUCCGGAUUCACUGGGUUUAAAGGGUGUGUAGGCGGAUAUUUAAGUCAGUGGUGAAAUCUCUGGGCUCAACCCAGAAACUGCCAUUGAUACUAUUUAUCUUGAAUUCUGUUGAGGUGGGCGGAAUACAUCAUGUAGCGGUGAAAUGCUUAGAUAUGAUGUAGAACACCGAUUGCGAAGGCAGCUCACUAAACAGACAUUGACGCUGAGGCACGAAAGCGUGGGGAUCAAACAGG
rnacentral:rRNA from 1 species